ensembl:lncRNA
CAAACGAGCGGCUACCAAUGGGAAGAGGCGGGGGAAGGGCAGUGUGAGAACUUCUUGCUCCUGUUGCUGUGGGCAGCCCAGUCUACGGAUAAAUCCCGUGCUUGCGAAAGAGCUGUGCUGAGGCAACCGCAGGGAAAUGGAGCCAGAGCCUCAGUCACACCACACUUGGAGCCCCCGCAAGCUCUAGACCCAGUUAUGUGGGACAGGACUGUCCUCACUGUUGAGAUCAGAGCGAGUCUGUCUCCUGUUACUGCUGCCACAGGAGAGCAGACACCUUUCCCCGGGUCACUCGUCCAUAUUUUCACGUAUUCAGUCGAAAAGCAUUUAUUGAGUGUCUAUUAAGAGCCAGACAGUGGGACUUCCCUGGUGGUACAGUGGAUAAGGAUCUGCCUGUCCAUGCAGGGGACACGGGUUUGAUCCCUGGUCCGGGAAGAUUCUGCAUACCCCGAAGCAACUAAGGCUGUGGGCCACAACUACAAGGCCAGUAGCCUGCAGCUGCUGAAGCCUGAGCCUGAGCCUGUGCCCCACGGCAAGAGAAGGCCCACUCCCAGAACUGAAGACCUAGCACAGCCGAAAAUAAAGACAUGCUUAAAGAAAAAGAGCCAGACAGCGAGUCGGACACGGGGGUGGCGGCAUUGAAUGAGGACCGGUCCCAGGGGGGCUCACUCACUAAUUGGGAGGGGUGAAUGGGAAAUGAAUAGUGAAACAAGACAGUAUCAGUAACUGGUCAUACAAAGACCACAGAAGACGGUGGCGUGUGAGAGGUUGAGAGGGGCCCUGAGGCAGGGGGCCGUCACCUUCAGAGAGGAUUAGCAGGAAGGGUGCUGGAAGAAGCAACAUUCAAGCUGAAAGCUGACUUAGAAGGUUUGGUGCUGGAGAAGACUCUUGAGGGUCCCUAGACUGCAAGGAGAUCCAACCAGUCCAUCCUAGAGGAAAUCAGUCCUGAAUAUUCUUUGGAAGGACUGAUGCUGAAGCUGAAACUUCAAUACUUCCAAUACUUUGGCCGCCUGAUAUGAAGAACUGGCUCCUUGGAAAAGACCCUGAAGCUGGGAAAGAUUGAAGGCAGGAGGAGAAGGGGACAAUAGAG